UACGUAGGGUGCAAGCGUCGUCCGGAUUUAUUGGGCGUAAAGAGCGUGUAGGCGGCCAUGUAGGUCCGUUGUGAAAACUCGAGGCUCAACCUCGAGACGCCGAUGGAAACCAUGUGGCUAGAGUCCGGAAGAGGAGAGUGGAAUUCCUGGUGUAGCGGUGAAAUGCGCAGAUAUCAGGAAGAACACCCGUGGCUAAGGCGGCUCUCUAGUACGGUACUGACGCUGAGACGCGAAAGCGUGGGGAGCGAACAGG
rnacentral:rRNA from 1 species